rnacentral:lncRNA from 1 species
CAUCUCUCACGAUCUCUCAGGCCUCGGCUCUCUCUCUCUCCCUUCACCAUCUCUCACGCCUCUCUCACACCUCUCUUCACCAUCUCUCACGAUCUCUCAUCUCCAUCUCUCACACCUCUCUUCACCAUCUCUCACGAUCUCUCUCCACCAUCUCUCACGCUUCUCUCCACCAUCUCUCACGCCUUAGCUCUCUUAAAGGU